AUGCGCAGGAUGCACCUUGGCUGUGUCCCGGACCACCACCUCCUCGCUCUUCACCUCUGGUCCACGGACGGCCUCAACGCCAAGGAGUUCGCGCUGCUCCGCUCCAUCGUGGCCGCGCGCGCGCCCAGCAGGCUGCUUGUGGUCGGCCUCUCGCCGCAGCUCCUCGCGCUCGCCGCGGUCAACUCCGGGCAGGGCGCUGCCACCGCCUCCGACAGCGCCGAGGACGCGCGGGGCGUGCUCGUUGGGCGUGGCCCCAGCAGCUCGGCGGCCGUCCAUGUUUCAAGGUACCCUGACCCGGCCGGGGAGGCGUGGGCAAUGCUGCGGCGCGCGAGGUCGAGCCCGGUGUGCCGGCGCCCGACGGGGACGGUGCGCAAGUUGGGCUGCCGGCUGGUGCUGACCUCCUUGCCGCGGGAGGUGCUCGACGCGAGGUGGGACGUGGUCGUCGUCGACGGGCCGAGCGGGGCAGGUCCCGGGGAGCCGGGGAGGAUGGGUGCCAUAUACACCACGGCCGCGCGCGUGACGGGGGGCGAAGCGGUGGACGUGACGGUGCACGAGAUGAACCGGACGAAGGGAAGAUCUGACGCCACCGCCAAUAUUCUCCACCCAGCGGCGCCAUGGAUGCCGACCGACGAGCGCCUCAUCGCGGCUGCUGGCCGACGAGGACAGGGGAGCUCAGACAUGAGUCCAGCGAAGUCGAGCGAUGCUGGCGGCGGCGCCCAGCCAUCCACUGGCGAGAUGUGCGGGAGCUCGAACCCUACGAAGGCGACGGCAGAAGAAGAGGAGGAGGAGGACCCGCAGUACUCGGUGGAAUUCAGGGCGGCCAGAUCAUUCGCCGCGGCGGUGAAGGCAAAUCCAGUUGGAAGCCAGCACAUUGCUUCAGCUUUCGGCGGCGUCUAUCUUGAAGAUGAGGUUUGGGAAUUGAGGAUGCAUUUUCAUGACAGAGAUAAUAUUGAAAGGAGUAUGAUGAUGUCAGACAUCACAUAUUACAAUUUGGUAGCACUUAUGGAGACAGAAGGGUAUGGUUUUAGAGAUUAUAUGUAUUAUGUGAGGGACCCUGGGCUAGGGAUUGAAGGAAUGGAAGAAAUAGAUGAUGAUGAUAAGUUAGAGGAAAUUUUAGACCACAUAGCAGAGCAGAAUAACAAGAUAUUGAAUGUGACAAUAGUUAGGGCCAGUGCAGAGAAAGUUCCCAAUAUAAAUACCAGUGUUAAUGUCAUUGAGAUGCAGACCCCAAUAGAACAAAUUGGAGAGCCCAAACUGUAUCAGAUUGAUGAUGAAGGAGUGUUGUUCAAUGCUGAAAAUGUGCAUGUAGAAGCUGAGAGUUGUGAUGCAGGAGGAGAACAAGAGCCAAUGCCCUUGCAGUUUGACACACAGCAGAGCAGAAUAAAUGUGAGCCUGGAACCUGCUUUAGGUGAUGCAGUAGUGGAAGAAUACCAUGUGACUGACAAUUCAGAGGAGCAACUGUUAAUAGAGCAAGAAAUAGAGGAGAAAAGGAGAAAUGAAAUUGAAAUUUUUAGGAAGAAGAAGAAGGAAAGAGCGAAGAAGACUUGUUUGAACAGGAAAGCAGCAGUGAUGGACAAUAAAGAGGAUAGUGAUGAUGAUGAUCUGGUAGAAUAUGGUGAUAUCUUAGCUAGGCUUGAGGAGAUGAAAAGACAGAGGAAUGACCCAGAACUUCAUUUUGAAGGGGACACAGAUGUUGAGGAAAUGUGUGACUCAGAGGUGGAUGAUGAGCUGUAUGUGCCACAAGGUGAAGAAGAGGAUGUAGAGGAGGAAGAGGAGGAGGAAAUGGAGGAAGAGGAACAAGAGGAUGAGCUAGGGCAAGAUGUACCAAACAAGAGAAGGGCCAAGAGACAAAGAAAAGGCCCAACAAGCAAUUCACAUGGGAGUAUAGAAGACAUGUUUGAGGAGGACUGGAUUCCAUCAUCUGAUGAGGACAUGAAACCACAAGACCUUGGUGUGGAAGAUGAUGAUGGUGCUGAGGCAUUGGCAUAUGUGUUGCCCAAUGGUAGAAAAAGCAGAGCAAAGAAGAUGAAGAAGAGGUUAUGGUUUGAUGAGCACAGAGCUCAUCCAGAGGAGCAAUUUGUGAAGCAUCUUUGCUUCUUAAAUGUGUACCAGUUUAGAACUGCACUUCAAACCCUGCACAUUGCUCAAAACAGGAACUUUGUCUACCAUAGAAACUGUAGUGAUAGGGUGAUAGCACAUUGCAUAGAUGAGCAAUGUCCCUUCUAUAUAGCAGCUUCUCAGAUUGCAAAUGAGAAGUCAUUUACAAUUAGGAAGUUGUAUUUAGUGCACACAUGCCCUUCUAUGUCAGAGAACACUAAAGUCACUGCUAAGUGGGUUUCAAAAUUCUAUGACGAGGCUAUCAGAAAUGACCCAUGCACAACAAUCACAAGUAUUAUUAAUACUGCAAAGAGCAAGUAUGGUGUGGACAUAUCAACACACAUGGCAUAUAGGGCAAAGAGGGCAGCAAAGGCUGUUGUGUUAGGAGACCAGAAAGCCCAGUACACCAGGAUUAGGGAUUAUUUACAUGCUGUGUUGGAUACAAAUCCAGGUUCAAGAUGCAUUGUGACAACAAGAUAUCUGAAGGAGCAUCCAAGCACUAACCCUAGGUUUCAUGCAUUGUUCAUAUGCUUGAAUGGAUGCAAAGAAGGGUUUCUCAAUGGCUGCAGACCAUUCAUAGGUCUAGAUGGUUGUUUCAUCAAGCUCACUACUGGUCAACAAAUUCUAGCUGCAACUGGAAGAGAUGGGAACAAUAAUAUUUUUCCCAUUGCUUUUGGAAUUGUUGAUAAGGAGGACACUAACUCCUGGACCUGGUUUUUAUACCAGUUGAGACAAGCAUUAGGUGGAGAAUCUGGGAAGUUUGGGAACUACACAAUAAUUUCAGAUAGGCAGAAGGGCCUUUUAAAAGCCAUUACCAGAGUGUUUCCCAAUUGUCCCCAAAGUUUUUGUCUUAGACAUAUCUACCAGAACUUUCAAAAUGCUGGGUUUAGAGGGCCUGAAUUAAAGCAAUACAUGGAUGCAGCUAGUUAUGCAUACACUGAACAUGGUUUUAAAACUGCAAUGGCUGAAUUAAAGAAUGAGAGUGAGGCUGCUUGGGAAUGGCUAAGCAAAAUACCUAAACACACUUGGGCCAGACAUGCAAUGGAUAUGAACUGCAAAACAGACUUAGUUGUUAACAAUCUAAGUGAGGUUUUCAACAAGUGGGUUCUAGAUGUCAGGGCUAAACCAAUUAGGACCAUGGUGGAUGGAAUUAGGACAAAGUUAAUGGUCAAGUUCAAUGCAAAUAGAACAAAGACUGAGACUAGAUGGGAAAUUUGUCCAACAUAUGCUGAGAAAUUAGAGGAAGCAAAGAAGUUUGCAAGGAACUGUCAUGCUUUGAUGGCUGGGCCUAAUAUUUACCAAGUCACUAGUGGGGAGAGAACUUAUGCUGUGAACCUACAACAUAGGACUUGUGGGUGCAAGAAGUGGGAUAUGACAGCAGUUCCUUGCAAUCAUGCUGUUUCUGCCAUACACAAGGCUAAGCUUCAGCCAGAGGACUUUGUUCAUGAUUUCUUCAAAAAAAAGAUGUACCUGGCAGCUUACAGUCCCAUUAUAUAUCCUGUACCUGGACCUGAUAUGUGCCCAAGGACAGACAGUAUGGACAUUGAGGCUCCAGUUUUCAAAGAACACAAGGGAAGGGCACAGACUAAGAGGAGAAAGGGCCAAUAUGAGAAGCCAGCUCCCAAAGACACCUCAAGAAUGGCCUCAAUUACCUGCUCUAAUUGCAAAAAGGUUGGCCAUAGAUACACCAACUAUAAUGUUGCUUUGAAUCCAUCACUGGCAAUGAGAAAGAACAGGCAUGAGGUAACCAAUGUCCUAAUAUUGACUAUUUGA
rnacentral:rRNA from 1 species